GAUCUUGGUUCAGGAUGAACGCUAGCUACAGGCUUAACACAUGCAAGUCGAGGGGCAGCAUUGGAGUAGCAAUACUCAGAUGGCGACCGGCGCACGGGUGAGUAACACGUAUCCAACCUGCCGCUUACUCGGGGAUAGCCUUCGUUUAAAGAAAGAUUAAUACCCGAUGGUAUAAAGAGUUCGCAUGUUCUCUUUAUUAAAGAAUUUCGGUAAGCGAUGGGGAUGCGUUCCAUUAGAUAGUUGGCGGGGUAACGGCCCACCAAGUCUACGAUGGAUAGGGGUUCUGAGAGGAAGGUCCCCCACAUUGGAACUGAGACACGGUCCAAACUCCUACGGGAGGCAGCAGUGAGGAAUAUUGGUCAAUGGACGAGAGUCUGAACCAGCCAAAAGUAGCGUGAAGGAUGACUGCCCUAUGGGUUGUAAACUUCUUUUAUAAGGGAAUAAAGUGAGGGACGUGUCCCUUUUUGUAUGUACCUUAUGAAUAAGGAUCGGCUAACUCCGUGCCAGCCGCCGC
rnacentral:rRNA from 1 species